AUUGAACGCUGGCGGCAGGCCUAACACAUGCAAGUCGAGCGGAUGAGAGGAGCUUGCUUCUCGAUUCAGCGGCGGACGGGUGAGUAAUGCCUAGGAAUCUGCCUGGUAGUGGGGGACAACGUUUCGAAAGGAACGCUAAUACCGCAUACGUCCUACGGGAGAAAGCAGGGGACCUUCGGGCCUUGCGCUAUCAGAUGAGCCUAGGUCGGAUUAGCUAGUUGGUGAGGUAAUGGCUCACCAAGGCGACGAUCCGUAACUGGUCUGAGAGGAUUAUCAGUCACACUGGAACUGAGACACGGUCCAGACUCCUACGGGAGGAAGCAGUGGGGAAUAUUGGACAAUGGGCGAAAGCCUGAUCCAGCCAUGCCGCGUGUGUGAAGAAGGUCUUCGGAUUGUAAAGCACUUUAAGUUGGGAGGAGGGGUUGUAGAUUAAUACUCUGCAAUUUUGACGUUACCGACAGAAUAAGCACCGGCUAACUCUGUGCCAGCAGCCGCCGCGG
rnacentral:rRNA from 1 species